AUCUUAAAUCUCAGGUCAUUUAUGCACUUUUUGACUGGAGUUUGUGCAAUUAUUGGUGGUAUUUUUACAGUUGCUGGUCUUGUUGACUCCAUGAUUUACCACUCUUCCCGUGCAAUACAGAAGAAAAUAGACCUUGGCAAAGCCAGCUAGUACCACAACUAUAUAAUAGUAAAUAAUUAUAAAGAAUUCAAACAGUUAUCACGAGAUCUGCUUUCUUGCCAAAAACCUAGAUUUUCUGCUGAUGAGAGCAUUUUCGWAAUAUGAAUUAUUGUAGCUAAAAAUWUUGUUGUGUUGGCAUGGAUUUUGCUCAUAUGAUCCCAGAUGGCAAGCGUUUGCUAAGUAUAUCCCCUUCAUAGCUACUUACAGUUUCAGCAAAGGAGUCUAUACAGAACCAUGUCUGUCAUAUUGUCCAAACUAAUACACUGUAACUUGGUUAGUAUAAAAAGUAAUAUUUGUUCAAAAUUACAGCAGAAAUGUUCCCAUUGCAAGUUUGAGUCUUUGUUGAUGUUUGUUUGUAUUUAAUCUUUCUUACUGGUGUUGCGCUGUUAGGAAUAAAUGGUAUAAGCUSCACACAUUGAUCAUUACAAACCAAAAACAMAGAGAAGUGGURAGCUGUUUUSAAGGUGAAUCAGUCCACAAAGAGCCUUUCUGUACAUGCAAAUGUAAAUGCCCUUUCUCAAACAAUAUAUAAUUAAAUGAACCUUAUCGGACAUCCAUWUAUGGAAGCUKUACRACAUACUCUACUCUGUCAGACAUUGCCUYCUGACGCAAUUUUCCUGMCAUCAUGUGGACAAAACACCUGCCCUUUUGCUCUAAAGAAUAGCUCUUAACAGAACAAUAUUUAAUAGCAAAGAACCACCCACAUGAACGAGGACUUAGUAUUGUUUUGCGGGUUUUGAAGUGRAACUGAGUGGAGUGRACAUUUGUACUUGCUGUAAUUAUCUGAUAUCAUGUCACUGAUGUUUGGUGUCUAGACAGUAAUAUGCAAAUGAUGUACUAAAAAUAGUAAUCCAGGAAGCCCAAUAUCAUGACUAAAUAAAGAUGAAUAAAGAUCAGUCUAAUCUUAGUGCAUUUAUACAUGUAAACUGUAUUAUUCAUAGCGAUUGAGUAAAGAACUUUAUAUUAA